GGAAGAUAGGAAGAGAGAAGGAAAAUAGGAAAGGAAAAAGAAAAGAGGAAAAGAAGAGAGAGGUACUUUUUUUUUUAAAGGCAGUGAGGGAGGGAGAGAAGAAUAAAUCUCACAGCAGCUGGUGUCCUAGUUCAUUUGGGUCUGAGAAAAUUAUUUUUAGGCAAACAAGGAAGACAGGAUUCCGCCGCCCGAUUCUCCAGGGCGGGAAGAAUAGGAUGUCUUGUAAAAAAUAAGACUGGACUCCUUCUGACUCCACGCGGCCCCAGCUCCUGAACCAGCGCAGUGAGCCUCAGCCGCUUCUCAAACUGGGUCUCAGAAAAUUUCUCCUCGAGAUGGAUUUCAGCGGCAGGAAAGAGGGGCCAGUGACGCGAGGAGCAAGAAAAGAGUAACAUGGGAGAUGAAUGUUCAAACCCAGAUCUCCUCGCUGAGCCUGGAAGCUCG
ensembl:lncRNA CCDC140 CCDC140 long non-coding RNA